rnacentral:ncRNA from 1 species
GUCUAAGUACACUCGGCCGGUACAGUGAAACUGCGAAUGGCUCAUUAAAUCAGUUAUGGUUCCUUUGGUCGCUCCAACCCUUACUUGGAUAACUGUGGUAAUUCUAGAGCUAAUACAUGCUGAUGAGCGCUAAAUGUUAGUGGUUGCUAACGGUGCUGCACUGACAGCUGUGGAGGCUCAGGUCCUCUUGUCCUCAAAACAGACACUGUAAAAGUAGCAAUGUUGGAAUCAUCCCAGAAUGCUGUGUUAAUGCACCUAACUCUGACCCUGACUAAAUUUAUGUCCUUGGCCUCUCUGCUGAG